rnacentral:rRNA from 1 species
CGUUUCUCCGCCGGCGACCGGCGCACGGGUGAGUAACACGUAUGCAACCUGCCCCUGUCAGGGGGACAACCCGCCGAAAGGCGGGCUAAACCCGCGUACAUGCCACCGGGGCAUCCCGGAGGCGAGGAAAAGGCUUCGGCCGGACAGGGAUGGGCAUGCGGCGCAUUAGGCAGUAGGCGGGGUAGCGGCCCACCUAACCGACGAUGCGUAGGGGUUCUGAGAGGAAGGUCCCCCACACUGGUACUGAGACACGGACCAGACUCCUACGGAAGGCAGCAG